rnacentral:SRP_RNA from 1 species
GCUGGGUGUGGUGGAGCACACCUGUAAUCCCAGCUACUUGGGAGGUUGAGGCAGGAGAAUUGCUUGAACCCGGGAGACAGAGGUUGCAGUGAGCUGAGAUUAUGGCACUGUACUCCAGCCUGGGCAACAGAGCAAGACUCUGUCUCAG